CCUGGUCAAACCAACGUGAGCGAACUCGUGAAGCUAACUGCUAGCUAACUGUGACUUCCAUGUAAACAAACUGGAAGUGUGAAGCAGUUUGAAACGCACGGACCCUCAUUCCCACGUUUUAGACUCCUGAAAGAAUUUUGUGAUAUGAGGUUUGGAGGGUAAGACAGAAUGGUGUACACCAGCCGCUGGCUUGAGCUUUCACCUGUCUACUGCUACUGGGAAUAUUCUUGAAGAAUCAUGAAGUGCAAAAGUGAGGUUGGUUCUUGGAAAACCUUUCCAAAUUAACCUCUAGUCAAACCGAUUGAGGACCUUCUAAAGCAUUUUCACCGUCUGCACUCAAUGGUAUAUUUAAAUCUGCU